CUCCUAGCAGCUCGUAUGCAUGAAUUCUGUUGUACAGUGAAGGAGGUGAUAUCUGUUGUCAAGGUGUGCGAGGCCACGCUGAGAAAAAGGUGAGAUCAACUCAUACCGUGAUGAGAUUGAGACACAGCUGGCAGUGAGCAGCAGAACCAAACUGAGAGGGAUUCAUGCCUCCUACGCAAGAGAAGAUGAUGACUGUGCGUCUUUGGCCUCUGGGAUGACUGGAGACGAAGACCCAGAGGAUGAGGAAAUGGAGGCAGCAGCUUAACAUCUCAACCAGGAGUUCAUGAAUCAGAUGUUUGAUCAGGGAGACCAGGGAGGAAUGGAGGAUCAGGAUACAGUAGCGCUCUCCAGUCAGGCCACACAUGUGCCUCUGACAGCGCUCCUCGCCUCGGCCCAUUGCCCAGUGCAGCCAGUCUUGGUCUAACAGACUCCAUUCGGAAAAGCAUCACAUAGGAGGACACAACAAACCUUGGAGGAUAUAUCAGAUAAUGGGGAACUGGAUCUAGAUGGGAUUGAUGAAGAGGAAAUUGAAAUGUACGUUUUGAAUGAGAUAGAGGUGGAGGCCAAGACAGAGCUGUGGGUGGAAUAUUUUGAGGGAACAGAAAGAAAAAGAGGAGAGAAUAGCUAAAGAAAAGGAACAAGGGACCCGUAAAGAGAAGCCAAAGAGGCUGUCCAAGAAGCGAGAGCCGAUCCUAGCCAGCACUGCGGGAGAGGCCAUAGAGAAGAUGCUGGAGCAGAAAAAGAUCUCCAGUAAGAUCAAUUAUGAUGUUUUGCGGGACCUCAACAGCAAGAGCAGCGGGAGCAACGCCACCCAGCAAGCCGAGGAUGUGCCUGCCGGUGGCUCUGGGCGCAAAAAGCUGACCCGCCGCAAGAAGCAGCCAAACAAGAGCAAUCUUGGCCUCUCAAAACCUGCAAGCCUCAUGGGCAAGAGGUCACUCCUAGCAUUACCAUGAUGUUGCCUCCUGCAGCCCCAGAGCCCCCUCCAGCCCCCACCCCUCCCCCAGUGUUGGAAAGUGGCCCUGUGGCAUAUGAGGAACCCGCUGAGGAGGAAGAGAAUGAGGAAGAGGCAGAGGAGUCUUGCAUUAGCGCCAUGGAGCUGAUAGGUGGAAAUGACUACGGAUGAGAAGAGGAGGUAUUUUAGACUGCACCCUCGUCUGAUCCCUGAACUUCUACUCAUCCUUCUAUCCACUUCUGUUACUCCCUAUGACAAGGAGAGGAGACUUUAAGGCACAUUUCAAAUACAUAUAAUAUGCUGCAUGUUUACAAAAGGUCAUUCUCCCUCACAAUGCAUUAUAUGACUAGUUAAACUGCAGCAUCUGGAUGACGAAUGAGCUACAAUGGGAGAAGGUGGCUCGCAGCUUUAGAUUGAAGAACUUUAAACCAUUUUAGUACUUUGCUGGUGUUACACUAAAAGUUUAAGAGACAGGAAACUCUAAAGUAGUUUCCUGAGUAUCUCAGAGAUUGCAAACCAUAUCGAAUGCAUUGUGGGACAAUAUAAUAACAGUUUGUUUUACAUGUACCUUUGCUGUAAAACAUUCAUUGUAGGAAGCUGUGUAAAUGAAAAAACGUUGCGUUUUCAUUUUUUAUUUUUAUAUGUCUCUAUGUUAUAUUGGAUAUUAUUAUAUUUCCUAUUUCCAUGAAAAGAUAAAUGUUCCUGUGUUGGAUUAUGAUCAAUAUUAAUGAAUUGUACAGCUAUGUUAUGUUGACCCUCAUUUGUACUGUUUUCAUUAGAUCAUCAAAUGUGGAUUUCAGAGUACACAGUGAAAGCAAAAUAUUUUAAUCUGUAUGUAAAUAAAUUCACAUAUGUUUAGGAUGUUUUAAUUAAGAUUUUAUGUUGCUUAUGCAUUCAUCUUGAAGUUUAAAAGCCCAAAUCCACGUUCAUUGUAGUUAAAUGAAAAAGAAUGA